rnacentral:rRNA from 1 species
UACGUAGGCAGCGAGCGUUGUUCGGAGUUACUGGGCGUAAAGGGUGUGUAGGCGGUUGUUUAAGUUUGGUGUGAAAUCUCCCGGCUCAACUGGGAGGGUGCGCCGAAUACUGAAUGACUAGAGUGCGGGAGAGGAGAGUGGAAUUCCUGGUGUAGCGGUGAAAUGCGUAGAUAUCAGGAGGAACACCGGUGGUGUAGACGGCUUUCUGGACCGUAACUGACGCUGAGACACGAAAGCGUGGGUAGCAAACAGG